UACGUAGGGUGCAAGCGUUGUCCGGAAUUAUUGGGCGUAAAGAGCUCGUAGGCGGUCUGUCGCGUCGGCUGUGAAAACCCGCGGCUCAACUGCGGGUCUGCAGUCGAUACGGGCAGGCUAGAGUUCGGUAGGGGAGACUGGAAUUCCUGGUGUAGCGGUGAAAUGCGCAGAUAUCAGGAGGAACACCGGUGGCGAAGGCGGGUCUCUGGGCCGAUACUGACGCUGAGGAGCGAAAGCGUGGGGAGCGAACAGG
rnacentral:rRNA from 1 species